rnacentral:rRNA from 1 species
CUACGUGCCAGCAGCCGCGGUAAUACGUAGGGUGCGAGCGUUAAUCGGAAUUACUGGGCGUAAAGCGAGCGCAGACGGUUACUUAAGCAGGAUGUGAAAUCCCCGGGCUCAACCUGGGAACUGCGUUCUGAACUGGGUGACUAGAGUGUGUCAGAGGGAGGUAGAAUUCCACGUGUAGCAGUGAAAUGCGUAGAGAUGUGGAGGAAUACCGAUGGCGAAGGCAGCCUCCUGGGAUAACACUGACGUUCAUGCUCGAGAGCGUGGGUAGCAAACAGGAUUAGAUACCCUGGUAGUCCACGCCCUAAACGAUGUCAAUUAGCUGUUGGGCAACUUGAUUGCUUAGUAGCGUAGCUAACGCGUGAAAUUGACCGCCUGGGGAGUACGGUCGCAAGAUUAAAACUCAAAGGAAUUGACGGGGACCCGCACAAGCGGUGGAUGAUGUGGAUUAAUUCGAUGCAACGCGAAGAACCUUACCUGGUCUUGACAU